CUGUACUUUAAGUGUGGUUGCUGCUUUUAUGUUGGCAUUUCCUCAGCCUUACUCCAGGGGCUUUUGUUUUUUUGUAGAGUGCCCUGGCAUUGCCUGAGGAUAAAUUGAAAGUAUGCUCAUUUCCCUCCCCAGAAAGAUUCUCAGUAUCCUCUGGGGCCUACAAUUUGAGCAAAUAUUAACAAUAUGCUUAAGGAAUCCAUAAAAAAAAAAUCAACUAAGACAAGCAAUUCUUCUGUGCUGUCCUUUCUUUCCAUACUCCUUCCACAAGUGUCAGCCAUGUAGAUGCAAAUACUGUUGUGACAUCAUAUGUCUUAUUCAAUACUUGAAAUCAUGCUUCUGUAAGGCUCUUUGCUCUGGAUAUGGAAAAGAGGAUUCCAGGAAGUUUACAGAAGAGACACAGUCUAAGAUAAGAGAUGGGAUAGGUUCAGAGCUGCAUGAUUCAAGAAAUACCACUCUUCCUUCACAUGUAGAACACCAAGCUAGCUUUGUGGAUCAGUGUGUCAAUGUUUUUUCUGAACAGCUUAAGCCAACUGAAAAGUAUGCAUUGAAUUUCUUGGAACUGUUCCAUACUUUUAAUGACCAAAAAAGCCAGAAAAGUCAGCAAGGGGUCUUUUAUCGCCCGUUCUCUAGGCGCAUCAACAUCUCGCUCGGCCUGGCAGCAGCCACGUUUGAUUUGCGUUUUUUUUUGGUACUUUAAGUUUUGAAGAAAAACCUCCAUCCCUGCGAGUGCUGCAUUUUGAAGAAAACCUCCAGCCUUGUGACUACUGAAUUCUGAGUAACUCCGAACACUCCUCCCCCCCUAUACCCACGCUAACAAUAAAAGUCAAUUUUC